GAGUUUGAUCAUGGCUCAGAACGAACGCUGGCGGCGUGGAUAAGACAUGCAAGUCGAACGGGAUAUUACGUGUAGCAAUACUUGUGAUGUUCAGUGGCGUAAGGGUGCGUAACACGUGAGUCAUCUACCGAGAAGUGGGGAAUAGCUCGUCGAAAGGCGAAUUAAUACCGCAUAUUGUAGCAAUACCAAAGCCGGGGCAACCUGGCGCUUCUUGAUGAGCUCGCGGCCUAUCAGCUAGUUGGCGGGGUAACGGCCCACCAAGGCUAUGACGGGUAGCUGGUCUGAGAGGACGACCAGCCACACUGGAACUGAGACACGGUCCAGACACCUACGGGUGGCAGCAGUCGAGAAUUUUUCUCAAUGGGGGAAACCCUGAAGGAGCGACGCCGCGUGGAGGAUGAAGGUCUUCGGAUUGUAAAGCACUUUUAGUGGGGAUGAAAAGCCGAAGGCUAAUACCUUUCGGUCUUGACCUAACCCAAAGAAAAAGCAACCGGCUAACUCUGUGCCAGCAGCCGCUGUAAC
rnacentral:rRNA from 1 species